rnacentral:rRNA from 1 species
UACAUAGGGGGCAAGCGUUAUCCGGAAUUAUUGGGCGUAAAGGGUGAGUAGGCGGUAGAUUAAGUCUUUGGUGUAAGUGCAGUGCUUAACGCUGUGAUGCUAAAGAAACUGGUUUACUAGAGUUAGAUAGAGGCAAGUGGAAUUCCAUGUGUAGCGGUAAAAUGCGUAAAUAUAUGGAGGAACACCAGUGGCGAAGGCGGCUUGCUGGGUCUAUACUGACGCUGAGGCACGAAAGCGUGGGGAGCAAACA